UACGAAGGGUGCAAGCGUUACUCGGAAUUACUGGGCGUAAAGCGUGCGUAGGUGGUGAGUUAAGUCUGUCGUGAAAGCCCCGGGCUCAACCUGGGAAUGGCGAUGGAUACUGGCUCGCUAGAGUGCGGUAGAGGAGAGUGGAAUUCCCGGUGUAAGCAGUGAAAUGCGUAGAGAUCGGGAGGAACAUCAGUUGCGAAGGCGGCUCUCUGGACCAGCACUGACACUGGAGGCACGGAAAAGCGUGGGGAGCAAACAGG
rnacentral:rRNA from 1 species